GUGUUUUUUUCAGCAGCACAUACAUUAAAAUGGGACAACACAGAGAGGAUUAGCAUAGCUCCUGUGCAAGGAUGACACACAAAUUCAUGAAGCAGUCCAUUUUUGU
ensembl:snRNA U6 U6 spliceosomal RNA